ACUCAAAUGAAUUGACGGGGGCCCGCACAAGCGGUGGAGCAUGUGGUUUAAUUCGACGCAACGCGAAGAACCUUACCUGGGCUUGACAUCCUCUGAUCAUCUAGGAGACUAGGUUUCCCCGCAAGGGGACAGAGAGACAGGUGCUGCAUGGCUGUCGUCAGCUCGUGCCGUGAGGUGUUGGGUUAAGUCCCGCAACGAGCGCAACCCUUGUCGUGUGUUGGUCCACAAGAUCUCUCACACGAGACCGCCGGUGACAAGCCGGAGGAAGGUGGGGAUGACGUCAAGUCAGCAUGGCCCUUACGUCCAGGGCUACACACGUGCUACAAUGGGAAGGACAGCGAGUCGCGAACCCGCGAGGGCAAGCUAAUCUCUUAAACCUUUCCUCAGUUCGGAUUGGAGGCUGCAACUCGCCUCCAUGAAGUCGGAAUCGCUAGUAACCGCAGAUCAGCUACGCUGCGGUGAAUACGUUCCCGGGCCUUGUACACACCGCCCGU
rnacentral:rRNA from 1 species